rnacentral:rRNA from 1 species
GACGAACGCUGGCGGCGUGCUUAACACAUGCAAGUCGAACGGAAAGGCCCUGCUUUUGUGGGGUGCUCGAGUGGCGAACGGGUGAGUAACACGUGAGUAACCUGCCCUUGACUUUGGGAUAACUUCAGGAAACUGGGGCUAAUACCGGAUAGGAGCUCCUGCUGCAUGGUGGGGGUUGGAAAGUUUCGGCGGUUGGGGAUGGACUCGCGGCUUAUCAGCUUGUUGGUGGGGUAGUGGCUUACCAAGGCUUUGACGGGUAGCCGGCCUGAGAGGGUGACCGGCCACAAUGGGACUGAGAGACGGACCAGACUCCUACGGGAGGCAGCAGUGGGGAAUAUUGCACAAUGGGCGGGAGCCUGAUGCAGCAGCGCCGCGUGCGGGAUGACGGCCUUCGGGUUGUAAACCGCUUUCGCCUAUGACGAAGCGUGAGUGACGGUAAUGAGUAAAGAAGCACCGGCUAACUACGUG